rnacentral:lncRNA from 1 species
UUUUUUUGACCUCCUCGAUAGAUGUGUUGUCAUCAUCAAAAGAGGGAGAAUAUAGAUCUAUGUGCUUGCAUGCACAACUAUCUGCAACUGUUAGAUGUUCACAAUUAUUUAGUGAUGACAACAUCAUAUGGCAAUCGACAUUAUGUGAAGUAUUAAUCUAUCAAGAAUAAUAAAUUAUCAAGAUGUUCUAUAAAGAUCAAGAUGUUAUUUGUGA